ACGGGAAACCGGAGCUAAUACCGGAUAAUAUAUUGAACCGCAUGGUUCAAUAGUGAAAGACGGUUUUGCUGUCACUUAUAGAUGGAUCCGCGCCGCAUUAGCUAGUUGGUAAGGUAACGGCUUUACCAAGGCAACGAUGCGUAGCCGACCUGAGAGGGUGAUCGGCCACACUGGAACUGAGACACGGUCCAGACUCCUACGGGAGGCAGCAGUC
rnacentral:rRNA from 1 species